CUGAACUCCAGUAGGGCCCAAGCCAGCCAGGAAGGAGGAGGCAGCCAGAGUGGCCACCACUGGUCUCUGCAGCAGAAGACCCCUUGCUGCCAGACUCUAUCCCAUCAUUCUCUGAAACUCUCCAUGUGGACUAUAUCCAUGGUUGCAGCCAUAUGAAGGAAGUAAAAUCUGUCCCAAUACUGAACCUCUGUAUUCUGAAUACUGAACAAAUCUGUGUUCAGAGGUUCUACUUCCCAGCGGUGAUUCACAGAUACAAAGACCUUGAAAUGGAAGCAUAUGCAAGGAAGAUAUUAACUAAGAAUUUCCAACCUGAACUAUCACUUUAGAGAGCAGCAGCCAUUGAUGGGGACUGCAGGUGGAGAAAAGGAAACACAAAGCAUCAGAAUGUCAUCGCAUGGGAUGUCCCACCACUACCACCAUACACUUUGUGAGUACCCUCGGGACUGAGGCUAGACCAAAGGGCAUGGCUUUGAAUUGGAAUGUGUUUGUGCCAACCUGGACAUAGCCUCUGGAUGAAGCGGUUUAGAAAUGAAAUGAAAGAAAGGAAGGAAGGAAGGAAGCAAGCAAGCAAGCAAGCAAGCUCAAGGGUGAUGGGACAGGGGAAGAAGGGAAAUGACAAUCCCAUGAGGGAUUACAGAGACUUUUAAAAUGGAGUUCAUUUGUCUUUGUUAUCCCAGAUUUUGAUUUCAACAACAACAACAACAAUGCAAGGCUCUAGUGUCCUAUUUCAAAAAAGGAUGCAGGUGUUCAUAUGGCAGGAAUGACAAUAUGGGAAUACAGGCUCACAUCCUGACUAAGGAAGCACCGAUGCAACACUAUAAUCUCCUCUUCCUUCCGCUGCUGCCUGCACCACCUGAAUAUAUGUUGCUGAGGCCCAGGGACAUAUUUUUCAGUGUCACAUGCAACUGCGGAAAGAAGGAGAGAUAAUUUUCCCUUAGUCUGUAAUACCUUUGCACCAGUGCAGUGUGAGUCAAGAUGUCAGCCACUGUAUUUGUAAUGAUUCAUGAUCUAUCUCAUUAAUUUCUGAAGGUCUGAAUGAUCAUCUCUCUCACUGAGAACUCCAGUGUACUGCACUCAAAGACAUUUCAUUGCAAAUUUCUUUCACUGAGAUAAUUGCUGUUUAG